AUGGAGAGGAAACUGGGAGCUGUGCUGGGGAUUCUGUGGGUGCGGAUUUGCUGGGUGAGGGGAGUUGAGGUGAAGCAGAGUCCUCCAGCCCUGAUUCUCCAUGAGGGAACCAGUUCUGCUCUGAGAUGCAAUUUUUCUGAAACCAUGACAACUGUGCAGUGGUUCCGACAGAAUCCCUGGGGCAGUCUCAUCAAUCUUUUUUACCUGACUCCAGGAACAAAGGAGAAUGGGAGGUUAAAGUCAACAUUUGACUCCAAGGAGCGCUACAGCACCCUGCACAUCAGGGAUGCCCAGCUGGAGGACUCAGGCACCUACCUCUGUGCUGCUGAUGCACAGUGCUCCCAGCAAGCUUGCAGGCUGGCACCAAACUGCAACUGUGUGUGCAGCUACAGCCCUGCCCCAGGGAGACUCUGCAGGAGGCUUUGCACAGCUGUGGCUUUAUCAGAUCUCGACCAAUUACAGAGAAGGUGCGAGGAAACACAAAAAUACCACAGCAGAAAUUCACACCUAAAUUCUGCUGAUGUGAUAUUAACUUGUAGAAGGAUGAAUGCUCAGAAACACCAGCCCAUAUGA